rfam:Danio rerio chromosome 10, GRCz11 reference primary assembly.
AGCCACAGCCAUGUCACCCUGCAGCCCAAGACCGGUUACUCACUGAAGCUAAGCAGGGCUGAGCCUGGUCAGUACCUGGAUGGGAGACCACUUGGAAACACUAGGUUGCUGUUAGAA